rnacentral:rRNA from 1 species
AGCUUCAGUAGCGUAUAUUAAAGUUGUUGCAGUUAAAAAGCUCGUAGUCGCAUUUCUGGCGAGAGGAUCCGGUCCGACCUUUUGGUGGGUUCUUGGGUCUCUUUCGCCAUCCUUGAGUGGUCCGUUCUGGCAUUAGGUUGUCGGAGCGUCAGCCGCUCAUCGUUUACUGUGAGAAAAUUAGAGUGUUCAAAGCAGGCUUAUGCCGUUGAAUAUAUUAGCAUGGAAUAAUAAGAUAGGACCUCGGUACUAUUGUGGUGGUUUGCGCACCAAGGUAAUGAUGAACAGGGACAGUUGGGGGUAUUUGUAUUUCGUUGUCAGAGGUGAAAUUCUUAGAUUUACGAAAGACAAACUACUGCGAAAGCAUUUACCAAGGAUGUUUUCA